CAAUAGCGUAUAUUAAAGUUGUUGCAGUUAAAAGCUCGUAGUUGGACUUCGGAGUGGCACGGCCGGUCCGCCGCAAGGUGUGUCACUGGCCGGCGCUCUUCUUCGCAAGACUGCGUGUGCUCUUGACUGAGUGUGCGCAGGACUUGCGACGUUUACUUUGAAAAAUUAGAGUGUUCAAAGCAGGCCAGCGCUUGGAUACAUAAGCAUGGAAUAAUGGAAUAGGACUUUGGUUCUAUUUUGUUGGUUUCUGGAACCGAAGUAAUGAUUAAGAGGGACAGUUGGGCGAUUCGGUAUUUCGUUGUCAGAGGUGAAAUUCUUGGAUUUACGAAAGACGAACUACUGCGAAAGCAUUUGCCAAGAAUGUUUUCAUUAAUCAAGAACGAAAGUUAGAGGAUCGAAGAUGAUUAGAUACCA
rnacentral:rRNA from 1 species